CCGUCUCAGCCUCGAGGCGAAUUAUCCUCCUCCCAAGUUUGGAUUCGAAGCCCCGUCUGGUUCGAAGGCUUUUCCUCCUCGACGUGAUGACGGUCUCUGAGGCAGUUCGGUGGACGCGAGUGUGGGUUUUGGAAGUGGUUCGUUCGCCCGGUUCGAGGCUUUGCUUUUCGAGGGGUUCGAAUGCGUGAUUCGUGACCAGCCGUCCAACAGCUAUGAAAAAAGGUAGAGUCCGCCCACACCACGUCAGACCGUGGGCGAGCAAAACCUUGGGUGUGAUUUUGACUAUGGUGAUCCUACUCGUCAUCUACAUCGCAUUCACACCAUCGUAUUCCAGCUGCCUCCUGAAAGCUCUGAAAGGCCCUUUGGCAGUCGAUGACCCAGAAUUCCUGACCUACCUGAGGCAAGAGGUAUG